GACCUUUAAGUAUUGCCUUGGUGGUCGGGGACAUACAAGAAGUACAGGGAAUUGGCAACAUAUAAAAUAAAGUAUUUAAUUGGCUAGAUUAAUCUGACGAGUAAGGUGUCUACCUGAUUCAACCACCCAGCCUUAGACCGGUUGUUAAGAGGGGAAAUCCCCCAUGCGAAGUACACUUUGUAACUAACUUAUAGCCAGACAUCCAGAAAAAUAUUCAAAAGCUAGAGGAGUCGUUGCGGGAAGCUCAAAGUGUUUGUGAGAAAAACAUGAGCACAACCUGAGAAAGAAGAGAGAAAUAAGAUGCAAGACUCGAGAGGUCUCUGAAGGAGACCAUCUGUUGUGGACACUACUCCCAAACUACGAUGCUGCAAGGGCAGGGGUAGAAAUACAGAAACUGGCGGCUGCUCUUGAGAAGUUAAUUAAUGAUACCAUCAACGCACUGGGAGAAACUCAGUCCCAAAUAUCGGCCGUAACCACCGAAAUGAUUGUAAAGCUGUUAGUCUUGUAGCAGAAUCGAAUGGCUGUGGACUAUCUCUUGGCUGAAAAAGGGGGAAACCUAUUCUCUGAUUGUAGGAAGCGGGGCUCAGGCCGUUCAGCCCAUCGAGGCAGUGCCCGCCCCGCCCCCCCGGAUCACGUGCUGACCUGAUGACCUUCCCUUUGU